CACACAACAAUAUUAUUCGCCAGAGCUCUACUAGCAAUAGCUUAAAACUCAAAGGACUUGGCGGUGCUUUAUAUCCCUCUAGAGGAGCCUGUUCUGUAAUCGAUAAACCCCGAUAAACCUCACCGACCCUUGCUAAUACAGCCUAUAUACCGCCAUCUUCAGCAAACCCUAAAAAGGAGCCAUAGUAAGCAAAAAUAUAGAACAUAAAAACGUUAGGUCAAGGUGUAGCCAAUGGGCCGGGAAGAAAUGGGCUACAUUUUCUAAAAUAGAACAUAUAC
rnacentral:rRNA from 1 species